GUAGUCCACGCCCUAAACGAUGUCGACUGGUUGUUGGGGAAGGCAACUUCCUUAGUAACGAAGCUAACGCGUGAAGUCGACCGCCUGGGGAGUACGGCCGCAAGGUUAAAACUCAAAGGAAUUGACGGGGACCCGCACAAGCGGUGGAUGAUGUGGAUUAAUUCGAUGCAACGCGAAGAACCUUACCUACCCUUGACAUGCCAGGAACCCCGGUGAGAGCCGGGGGUGCCCGAAAGGGAGCCUGGACACAGGUGCUGCAUGGCUGUCGUCAGCUCGUGUCGUGAGAUGUUGGGUUAAGUCCCGCAACGAGCGCAACCCUUGUCACUAGUUGCCACCGCAAGGGGCACUCUAGUGAGACUGCCGGUGACAAACCGGA
rnacentral:rRNA from 1 species